GGGAGCAGGUGGGCUCCAUGCUGCUCGGGUGACCCGUGUUCUGACCCUCAGGCACCCUCUGGAGGUGUGACUGGAUGGGGCUCAAGCUGCAAAAUGCCUGGCCCAUGGCCACCUGUGGGCAGCAGCCACCAUUUCUGCCCAGCCCAAUGGCAUUUGCCCUCUGCCCACUUCACAGCACCAUGUCCAGGGAACGGCCCUGUGGGGACUCCUGACCCCCAGAGAUGGACACCCACUGCUCCUCGGCUUCCUCACGGGGUGUGAGGCCGUGGUCAUCAUCCUCUGGGGACGAGUGGCUUCCACCCGGCCUGCCAUGCUGCUCUCCGCCCCUCCACUUCGUCUGGCCCCUGCCUCCUCCCUUCCUGCUUCCUCUCACAUCGGUUCAGGUCUUCAUGAUUGAAUCCGUUAUUGGCACAUUUUCUCUACCCCCUUUCUUUGGCGUCUGCCUUAGUAUUCAGUGCGGAUCUUUAACUCACUCCCUACCAUCAGGGGCAUUGAACCCCUUCAGACAGCGUGGGAAAAGUUUUGUCCAUUUCCCCAUCUGCUCUUGCUGUAGUUUGGGUCUUAAGUGUCCCUAAAUGACCUUGUACUAAAGUCUUGUUCCCAGCUUCGUGCCAUUGGGAGGCAGGGUGUUAAAGAGGCGGGGCCCUUAAGAGGCGGGGCCUAGGGGAAGUCAGUCGUGGGUAUGCUCUUGAAGCUGAUUGUGGACCUGGUCCCUUCCUUUCUACUCUUAAUUCUGGCCACAUAGUGGUUUUGCUCUACCACAGCUCCCACCAUAAGGUGCUUCCUCCCCAUAGGCCUAAAAGCAACAGGGCCAGCUGAUCAGGGACUGGAACCUCCACCAGCGUGAGUUGAAUAAGCCCUCAUGCUUUAUAAGUGGGCUCUCUCAGGUAUGUUGUUACAGCAGCAGAAAGCUGAUGUGAUUCUUUUUGCCGUUUCUGCUAUAACUCCCACAUAUUCUGGUGUUGUUUUACUUUCAGUAUUCAGUUAUCUUUUAAAAAUAUUUUUUUAGUUGUAGAUGGACAUGAUACCUUUAUUUUGUUUGUUUAUAUGGGGUGCUGAGGAUCCAACCCAGGGCCUCACACGUGCUGGGCAAGUGCUCUGCCACUGAGCCACAACCCCAGCCUCCUUCAGUUAUCUUUUAAAGAGGUUAAAAAUGGGAUAAAAUCUUUGGUUUAUGAAAUAUUUGGAAUAUAUGAAGUCCUUCUUUAGUGCAGAGUCAUAUUUCCACCCGUUUAUAUUUAGUCUCUGUCUCCAGUUCCUGUUGCUGGAGAUCUUCGCAUUUCCUGGGUGUCUCUUGGUAGGAGUGUCUUCUGUUUCCAAAAUGGGCUCCUUUCAGUCACACCUGAUUAAUUGAUGUAGGGUGGGGCCCUAGAUAGCUUCUGGGUGGGGCUGUUGCCAGAAAGGCCAAGUGAUUAGGAGGCUGGGCCUUCACCUCCUGAGGCCCCUGGACACAGCACCAGGCAGUGGGGCCCCCUGGAGAUGGAGUUUGACAGAGACUUGGAACAAGGAGCUUCAGGGAGCUAUGGGGCUGCUGGAGGCGGUGGCCCCUGAGAGGCUUUGGAAGCUCUGCAUGUCCCCGCCCCACCCCGUGCCCCUGCCCUCGUCCAUCUGGCCGUUCCGAGUUUUAUCCUUUGGAAUCAGCCAUUGCGUGAGGAUGGUCUUCCUCGGUGCUGCGAGCUGUCCAGCCGGUCAGUCAGAAGGGUGGAGGGUGCAGGGCCUGCAGCAGGCCGGGAUGGCUCCCCCUGGGUCUGAGCCACGCCGCUGUCGCAACCCACCGUGUGAGGCAGCUUUCUGUCACUGACCGAGACACUGGCAAGGUCAACUUAGCGGAGGAAAAGUUUGCUUGGGCUCAUGGUCUCAGUCCACGGUCAGCUGCCUCCACUGCUCUGGGCCUGAGGUGAGGCACAUUCUCCCCAUCACCACAGCUGGGAAGCAGAAGGAGGGAGGGGGAGAGAGAGGGACGUCGGGGACAAACUACAGUCAGAGGGCACACCCCAAGUGACCUGAUUCCUGCAGCCACAGCUCACCUUUCUACAGCUAUCACCCAGUUGUCCUUUCAAAUGAGUCAUCCAUCCAACGGAUCAGUCCCCCGAUGAGCUUACAGCCCUCAUCAUCUCAUCAUCUAUUAACACAGGGGCUUUUGGAGAACGUUCAAGGUCAAACCGUGUCCCAUCAGGCAGCUGGCCUGUGUUUGGGGGGUCCCUCCCUGGUCUGCAGGCACCCAGCUGUGUGCAGGAAGGGCAGCCCAGGGCACUCUCUCUCCUUCCCUUCCUGCAGAUGCCCCACCCAGUGGACCUCUGUCCUUGUCUGGGAAGAGGGAGCUGCUCUGGGACGCGGUUAGCUCCCAGCUGUUUCCAGAGGGAGGCUGAAUUCAGCCUCCGUGUCUCGGGGCCAUUUUGAAGCAAAUCAAGUCAUCCUAUAAUUUCAUGCAUAAACGUUUCAGUGUGCAUCUCCAGAGGGUAUGGAGUCCUUUUUAGCAUUUAGCACAGAAUGAACCAAUUACUAACCCUAAGGCAAAUAAAAAGUUUCACCAUGAAGGAAAUUUAAUUCAAAUACCCUUAAUGGCUCAGGUUUAAAUAAAACUUUAUUAGUUACAAUAUUGCAAAUACCAAGUAUUUACUUAAAAUCGGGCUUUAAUAGCAUCAUUAGAUAGUGAGAGAAGGGAAGGGAGGGUAGGGGCGUGUCUGUUUAUGUGUGUGUGUGUGUGUGUGCAUCCUUGUGUGUAAGAGCUAACUCCUCGUCUCCCCGCAGUAGAAGGUCUAGGUGUAUGGAUAAUACAUGGGUAGUAAAUAUCGAGCAGUUACAGUGUGUUCCUUAGAAAUACAAAUGGUAAUACCAUAAGAAACAGCUAAACAAUUAAAAUUGGGAUCAACAGGAAAAUGUGUCCAGCACCCAGCAGACACUCAAAUCCACACUUCGAUGACUCUGCACACUUAGUACAAUGAGCUGGGUAAAUCCUUGCUACACUGCAUGGUUUAGGGAACAAAGAGAAGGAAAAAAAGUCUGAACAUGCUUAAUAAAGACCCUGUUUUUAGAAUGUUUUAAGUCCACAGUUGGUUGGAUUCGAGGAUGGGGAGCCAAGGACUUCAGGGGCCGGCUGUAGGUGCUUCUUGGGAGAAGAAGUCAGGGCUCGGAAAAGCUGCCGGCUCCAUCCUCAGUGCCUUCAACUGUCACCUAACACUUGGCCCGUGCACUGCCUUUGUUCAGAACCUCGAGGGCCUUGACUUCUGAGUCAGAGCUCCAGUUCCUUGGCUCUGUCACCUCCUGGGUGUUGACCCGGGCCCGCGACUGAACCCCCCACAGCUUCAGCGUUUCCUUUUGCCAGUUGAAGACGGUGUCAGUGACCCUUCAAGGAAAGACAGACCAAGUGUCCCCUGUUGGGGGCAGCGUAUGAAAAAUCCAAGUGCCUUAAAUGACCAUGAAGAGAGGCCGUGAGGCUGUGGGAGCUGGGCCGGGGCUGGAGGCUGGGGUAGCCCCUUGGCCUCGCUGGGGCCUGCACAAACCCCCACCUCUUUACUCCGGGCAUUCACUGAGCGAGGAUCUGGGGUCCACUCCUCGCAGGAUUGCGUUGAGGAUGCACAGAAAGCACCCACCUGGCACUCUGGAUGCGGGAAGCUCUUGGUCAGCCAUGGCUGGUGGUGGGUUGCGCUGUUGAUGGAGUGGUCCUGACGGUGGGAUAACACAGCUCAAAAC
rnacentral:lncRNA from 1 species